AGCACAUCACUCACCUAUAAGUACACCUUUCACAUGCAAACCAAACAACUCACAGCCCAUACUCUAAAUCAUCUUCUCCAUCUGGCUCUUACUCUCCAAGAGGCAAUAUUCCUCUGCCCUAAUCACCUGUGGGCCAGGCUGAGACAACUAGAGAGAGUCCCUACAUCCUGAGGCCAGACAAAAUUAAUCAGGCUAUCCAUCCUAACCUGCUUAUCCUGCCUUGUCUUGCCUUUCCCUAAGAUACCUCAGAAAACCUUCUGCCCUGCUCCUUCUGCCUCCUGACUGACGCUGGUGCUGUCCUGAGGCACAGAGUACUCUCUCCUCUUGGGAACUAGUAAUCAAAUAUUUAUGAAGCACUCUCUAAAUAUCAAGCGAAGUGCUAAGACCUGCAAAUAAAGUGUUCCAGGCAGAGAAGAGGACUCUAUCCUGCUUUCUGCAUUUGCUUUGCUAUGAACUGAAUUUUAUCUCCCACCUUCAAUUCAUAGGCCGAAGCUGUAAAGGCCAAAGUGACUGUAUUUGAAAAUAGGAUCUGGAGGAGCAUCAUGGCUAGCGUCUGGGCAUCGGAAUGACCACUUGGAGAGAGAAGAUCCAUUGAGCUAAAAAUUGUUUCUCUGUCAU
rnacentral:lncRNA from 1 species